AGAGUUUGAUUCUGGCUCAGAGCGAACGUUGGCGAUGCGUCUUAAGCAUGCAAGUCGAGCGGGCUUAUUCGGGCAACUGGAUAAGUUAGCGGCGAACUGGUGAGUAACACGUAGGUAAUCUGCCGUAGAGUGGGGGAUAACCCAUGGAAACAUGGACUAAUACCGCAUAUACUCUUGACGCUAAAGCGUAGUAGAGGAAAGGAGCAAUCCGCUUUACGAUGAGCCUGCGGCCUAUUAGCCUGUUGGUGAGAUAAAAGCCCACCAAAGCUACGAUAGGUAGCCGACCUGAGAGGGUGACCGGCCACAUUGGGACUGAGAUACGGCCCAGACUCCUACGGGAGGCAGCAGCUGAGAAUCUUCCACAAUGGACGAAAGUCUGAUGGAGCGACAUCGCGUGAGGGAUGAAGGCCUUCGGGUUGUAAACCUUGGAAAUUAUCGAAGAAUGAGUGACAGUAGAUAAUGUAAGCCUCGGCUAACUACGUGCCAGCAGCCGCGGUAAUACGUAGGAGGCAAACGUUGCUCGGAUUUACUGGGCGUAAAGGGUGAGUAGGCGGAACUAUAAGUCUAAGGUGAAAUAUCGAAGCUCAACUUCGGAAACGCCUCGGAUACUGUGGUUCUUGGAUAUUGUAGGGGAUGAUGGAAUUCUCGGUGUAGCGGUGGAAUGUAUAGAUAUCGAGAAGAACACCUAUAGCGAAGGCAGUCAUCUGGGCAUUUAUCGACGCUGAAUCACGAAAGCUGGGGGAGCAAACAGGCUUAGAUACCCUGGUAGUCCCAGCCGUAAACGUUGCACACUAGGUGCUCCUAUUAAAAUAGGCGUGCCGUAGCUAACGUCUUAAGUGUGCCGCCUGAGGAGUAUGCCCGCAAGGGUGAAACUCAAAGAAAUUGACGGGUCCCCGCACAAGUGGUGGAGCAUGUGGUUUAAUUCGAUGAUACGCGAAAAACCUUACCUGGGUUUGAAUUGUUAGAUGAAUGAUAUAGAGAUAUGUCAGACCGCAAGGACAUUUAACAUAGGUGCUGCAUGGCUGUCGUCAGCUCGUGUCGUGAGAUGUUGGGUUAAGUCCCGC
rnacentral:rRNA from 1 species